rnacentral:rRNA from 1 species
GACGAACGCUGGCGGCGUGCUUAACACAUGCAAGUCGAGCGGAAAGGCCCUUCGGGGUACUCGAGCGGCGAACGGGUGAGUAACACGUGAGUAACCUGCCCCAGACUUUGGGAUAACCCUCGAAACGGGGGCUAAUACCGGAUACGACACAGCCUCGCCUGGGGUCUGGGUUGAAAGUUUUUCGGUUUGGGAUGGGCUCGCGGCCUAUCAGCUUGUUGGUGGGGUGAUGGCCUACCAAGGCGACGACGGGUAGCCGGCCUGAGAGGGCGACCGGCCACACUGGGACUGAGACACGGCCCAGACUCCUACGGGAGGCAGCAGUGGGGAAUAUUGCACAAUGGGCGGAAGCCUGAUGCAGCGACGCCGCGUGAGGGAUGACGGCCUUCGGGUUGUAAACCUCUUUCAGCAGGGACGAGGCGUAAGUGACGGUACCUGCAGAAGAAGCGCCGGCCAACUACGUG